rnacentral:rRNA from 1 species
AUUGAACGCUGGCGGCAGGCUUAACACAUGCAAGUCGAGUGGGCGAGGUUGCUUCGGUAACUGAGCUAGCGGCGGACGGGUGAGUAAUGCUUAGGAAUCUGCCUAUUAGUGGGGGACAACAUUCCGAAAGGAAUGCUAAUACCGCAUACGCCCUACGGGGGAAAGCAGGGGAUCUUCGGACCUUGCGCUAAUAGAUGAGCCUAAGUCAGAUUAGCUAGUUGGUGGGGUAAAGGCCUACCAAGGCGACGAUCUGUAGCGGGUCUGAGAGGAUGAUCCGCCACACUGGGACUGGGACACGGCCCAGACUCCUACGGGAGGCAGCAGUGGGGAAUAUUGGACAAUGGGCGAAAGCCUGAUCCAGCCAUGCCGCGUGUGUGAAGAAGGCCUUUUGGUUGUAAAGCACUUUAAGCGAGGAGGAGGCUACUUGGAUUAAUACUCUAGGAUAGUGGACGUUACUCGCAGAAUAAGCACCGGCUAACUCUGUGCCAGCCGCCGCCGUAAUAC